GAUGAAGAACGCAGCGAAAUGCGAUAACUAAUGUGAAUUGCAGAAUUCAGUGAAUCAUCGAGUCUUUGAACGCACAUUGCGCCCCCUGGUAUUCCGGGGGGCAUGCCUGUCCGAGCGUCAUUGCUGCCCUCAAGCACGGCUUGUGUGUUGGGCUCCGUCCCCCCGGGGACGGGCCCGAAAGGCAGCGGCGGCACCGAGUCCGGUCCUCGAGCGUAUGGGGCUUUGUCACCCGCUCUGUAGGCCCGGCCGGCGCCAGCCGACAACCCAUCAUCCUUUUCAGGUUGACCUCGGAUCAGGUAGGGAUACCCGUUGAACUUAAGCAUAUCAAUAAGCGGAGGA
rnacentral:misc_RNA from 1 species